rnacentral:rRNA from 1 species
AUACGAAGGGUGCAAGCGUUAAUCGGAAUUACUGGGCGUAAAGCGCGCGUAGGUGGUUCGUUAAGUUGGAUGUGAAAGCCCCGGGCUCAACCUGGGAACUGCAUCCAAAACUGGCGAGCUAGAGUAUGGCAGAGGGUGGUGGAAUUUCCUGUGUAGCGGUGAAAUGCGUAGAUAUAGGAAGGAACACCAGUGGCGAAGGCGACCACCUGGGCUAAUACUGACCUUGGGGUGCGAAAGCGGGGGGAGCAAACAGGAUUAGAUCCCCUGUAGUCCACGCCGUAAACGAUGUCGACUAGCCGUUGGGAUCCUUGAGAUCUUAGUGGCGCAGCUAACGCAUUAAGUCGACCGCCUGGGGAGUACGGCCGCAAGGUUAAAACUCAAAUGAAUUGACGGGG